GACGAACGCUGGCGGCGUGCUUAACACAUGCAAGUCGAACGGAAAGGCCCUGCUUUUGUGGGGUGCUCGAGUGGCGAACGGGUGAGUAACACGUGAGUAACCUGCCCUUGACUUUGGGAUAACUUCAGGAAACUGGGGCUAAUACCGGAUAGGAGCUCCUGCUGCAUGGUGGGGGUUGGAAAGUUUCGGCGGUUGGGGAUGGACUCGCGGCUUAUCAGCUUGUUGGUGGGGUAGUGGCUUACCAAGGCUUUGACGGGUAGCCGGCCUGAGAGGGUGACCGGGCACAUUGGGACUGAGAUACGGCCCAGACUGCUACGGGAGGCAGCAGUGGGGAAUAUUGCACAAUGGGAGGAAGCCUGAUGCAGCAACGCCGCGUGCGGGAUGACGGCCUUCGGGUUGUAAACCGCUUUCGCCUGUGACGAAGCGUGAGUGACGGUAAUGGGUAAAGAAGCACCGGCUAACUACGUG
rnacentral:rRNA from 1 species